rnacentral:rRNA from 1 species
GGCUCAGAUUGAACGCUGGCGGCAUGCCUUACACAUGCAAGUCGAACGGCAGCGGACCUUCGGGUGCCGGCGAGUGGCGAAACGGGUGAGUAAUAUAUCGGAACGUACCUUCAGUGGGGGAUAACGUAGCGAAAGUUACGCUAAUACCGCAUAUUCUGUGAGCAGGAAAGCAGGGGAUCGCAAGACCUUGCGCUGAUUGAGCGGCCGAUAUCAGAUUAGCUAGUUGGUGAGGUAAAGGCUCACCAAGGCGACGAUCUGUAGCGGGGUCUGAGAGGAUGAUCCGCCACACUGGAACUGAGACACGGUCCAGACUCCUACGGGAGGCAGCAGUGGGGAAUUUUGGACAAUGGGCGCAAGCCUGAUCCAGCCAUGCCGCGUGAGUGAAGAAGGCCUUCGGGUUGUAAAGCUCUUUCGGCCGGGAAGAAAUCGCACAGGUUAAUACCCUGUGUGGAUGACGGUACCGGAAUAAGAAGCACCGGCUAACUACGUG